rnacentral:rRNA from 1 species
GGAUAACACUUGGAAACAGGUGCUAAUACCGCAUAACCAUAGUUACCGCAUGGUAACUAUGUAAAAGGUGGCUAUGCUACCGCUUUUGGAUGGGCCCGCGGCGCAUUAGCUAGUUGGUGGGGUAAAGGCUUACCAAGGCAAUGAUGCGUAGCCGAACUGAGAGGUUGAUCGGCCACAUUGGGACUGAGACACGGCCCAAACUCCUACGGGAGGCAGCAGUAGGGAAUCUUCCACAAUGGGCGAAAGCCUGAUGGAGCAACGCCGCGUGGGUGAAGAAGGUCUUCGGAUCGUAAAACCCUGUUGUUAGAGAAGAAAGUGCGUGAGAGUAACUGUUCACGUUUCGACGGUAUCUAACCAGAAAGCCACGGCUAACUACGUGCCAGCAGCCGCGGUAAUACGUAGGUGGCAAGCGUUAUCCGGAUUUAUUGGGCGUAAAGGGAACGCAGGCGGUCUUUUAAGUCUGAUGUGAAAGCCUUCGGCUUAACCGGAGUAGUGCAUUGGAAACUGGGAGACUUGAGUGCAGAAGAGGAGAGUGGAACUCCAUGUGUAGCGGUGAAAUGCGUAGAUAUAUGGAAGAACACCAGUGGCGAAAGCGGCUCUCUGGUCUGUAACUGACGCUGAGGUUCGAAAGCGUGGGUAGCAAACAGGAUUAGAUACCCUGGUAGUCCACGCCGUAAACG